GACGAACGCUGGCGGCGUGCCUAAUACAUGCAAGUAGAACGCACAGUUUAUACCGUAGCUUGCUACACCAUAGACUGUGAGUUGCGAACGGGUGAGUAACGCGUAGGUAACCUGCCUGGUAGCGGGGGAUAACUAUUGGAAACGAUAGCUAAUACCGCAUAAUAUUGAUUAUUGCAUGAUAAUUGAUUGAAAGAUGCUAUUGCAUCACUACCAGAUGGACCUGCGUUGUAUUAGCUAGUAGGUGAGGUAACGGCUCACCUAGGCGACGAUACAUAGCCGACCUGAGAGGGGGAUCGGCCACACUGGGACUGAGACACGGCCCAGACUCCUACGGGAGGCAGCAGUAGGGAAUCUUCGGCAAUGGACGAAAGUCUGACCGAGCAACGCCGCGUGAGUGAAGAAGGUGUUCGGAUCGUAAAGCUCUGUUGUAAGAGAAGAACGGGGGUGAGAGUGGAAAGUUCACACUGUGACGGUAUCUUACCAGAAAGAGACGGCUAACUACGUU
rnacentral:rRNA from 1 species